AUGUGACCACUUGUCACACUUCCAUCAAACAGUACCUGCCCCUUAGGUGUGCUAGGGAAUAAAUGAAAUGCCUGGGACAUCAUCGUUAAGUGGCAUCUGAUGCAUAAGCAGUGCCCUAGGAAUGGGGUUGCCUGCCUUGGUCUCUAAAGGAUGGGUUCAAAAGGCAAGAGCAGCACACAAGAAGAUAGCUUCAAGCAGGAGAUAAAGCUUGGCCCAGGGCCCAAAGGGGAUACGACCCUUCAGCAAACUGACAUGCUGAAAGCUGCCCUAUGGAGAGGCUCAUGUGGCAAGGAACAGAGGGUGGCUUCUGGCCAACACCCAGUGAGGAACUCAGGCCCUCAGUCAAACAGCCUGCAAGGAACUGAACCCUGCCAAUAACCGCAGUGUCAGCCCCCGGCCAAUGACCACCAUGGACCUCCCUGUAGUUGAACAAAGUUGGGUUUGCUGACUGGUGGCAGUGAGGGAGAAUGCACACCACAGGGAGCUGUGCAGUGUCUCAGUAAGAAGCCAGGAGCCAUCCCGUGAGGCCGUUACUGCAAACAAGCUGAAAAUCCUGCUUUGUUUCUUUUGGACACAACAUGCUUUCCUUCAGCUUCAGUAGACGAUGAGGCCAGCACCACAUGGGCUAGAUGUACAUGAGAUGUGAGCAACCACACUUCCCCUCUGACGGGGACAGACAGCAUCACAGGCUGAGCUCUGAAACUUCUCCUGGCAGUUCAAGAGAGCGAUGGAGGGAAUGCUGGGGCACAUCUAAAUAAAGCCUCCAAGUGGGAGUUCCUGCUCAGCUAUGCAUGAGCUCUUUGUGACUUCAUCUCCCAGCCUACAACUUGUGAAAUAAGCACGACUUCACUCAGAGCACAGCCAGAAACAUACAAACUUUCCAAAAAUAUUUGAAUGUUGACAGCA
rnacentral:lncRNA from 1 species